CUUUUCGGCCACCGCUCGCUUCAAUAUGGCUGCCCCCAGGGAGAGACGAGGCUACCAUGAAGGAGCCGAGCGCAGACCCUGAGUCCGUCACCCAUGGAUCGCAGCGCGGAGUUCAGGAAAUGGAAGGCGCAAUGUUUGAGCAAAGCGGACCUCAGCCGGAAGGGCAGUGUUGACGAGGAUGUGGUAGAGCUUGUGCAGUUUCUGAACAUGCGAGAUCAGUUUUUCACCACCAGCUCCUGCGCUGGCCGCAUCCUACUCCUUGACCGGGUGAGGCCCCUUUGCGCCUGUCCAUCGCCUGCCUUCUAGUGCGAAACUUCAGGAGCCCUGUUCCCAUCCAGUGACGACCGGAUCCAGCAUGUCUGUGUUUGCUCCUCUGAGGGGGUAUAAAUGGUUUUGAGGUUCAGAAACAAAACUGUUGCUGGCUACUGGUUACACACAAACUUUGUGUAAAAGAUGAUGUGAUUGUAGCUCUGAAGAAAGCAAAUGGUGAUGCCACUUUGAAAUUUGAACCAUUUGUUCUUCAUGUGCAGUGUCGACAAUUGCAGGAUGCACAGAUUCUGCAUUCCAUGGCAAUAGAUUCUGGUUUCAGGAACUCUGGCAUAACGGUGGGAAAGAGAGGAAAAACUAUGUUGGCUGUCCGGAGUACACAUGGCUUAGAAGUUCCAUUAAGCCAUAAGGGAAAACUGAUGGUGACAGAGGAAUAUAUUGACUUCCUGUUAAAUGUGGCAAAUCAAAAAAUGGAGGAAAACAAGAAAAGAAUUGAGAGGUUUUACAACUGCCUACAGCAUGCUUUGGAAAGGGAAACGAUGACUAACUUACAUCCCAAGAUCAAAGAGAAAAAUAACUCAUCAUAUAUUCAUAAGAAAAAAAGAAACCCAGAAAAAACACGUGCCCAGUGUAUUACUAAAGAAAGUGAUGAAGAACUUGAAAAUGAUGAUGAUGAUGAUCUAGGAAUCAAUGUUACCAUCUUCCCUGAAGAUUACUAAGCUUUGGUUCUGAUGUGUCUUGGCCGUAAUGUUUCUAGUAGGUUUUAUAAAGCUGCUCUUCAUAAGAGUAUUUUAGUUUGUUGAGUGUAUCAGCCAUUCAUAAGCCAGUAAUGACAAGUGCAGAGCUUCAAACUAUAACUUUGUUGCCCAGAGGAUGUGCAGUUGUCAUCUAAGCUCUCAGCAGUACCCGGCUUAUCCUACGACUUCACCUGAAAUGCUAUAGUUAUCCCUACUUUUUUACCAGUUUCUCCCAGAAGCACCUGCUUAAUAAAUCAAAGAUGUUUGAAUGGUGUCUUAUUCUGAAAUAACCUGACCUAAGACAGGUAUUUAGAUUAUUUUGGAUACAUUUUGAAAAGGGAUAGCAUAAAUAUUUUAAGUAAAAAGACCUUUAUUUUAAAUAAUAGUGGAUAUUUUAAUGCUGGAAAUUAGCAUUAUAGUUGAUAUGCCAGAAAUUAUAUCUUUGGUUGUGAUUUAAACUUAUGCUAUAAACUAAAUUAAUGAUGUAAAUACAUAGUUUUAAACAUUCUUUUAGGGACAUGUAACUUUUAAGUAUCACUUCAAUAAUACGUAUUAUUAUAGGAACAAAGAUUUGGGAAUAAUUGAUUACAGGUGAGGAAGUACUGGAAUUCCAGUUCAAGGAGAUACCAUUUCAUUUAGGACUAAAAGGACAAGAUACAAGUUCACAUGAUGGGAAAAAUCAGAAAACCUCUCGCAGACAAAGGGUAUAUAAUGGAUAUGAGGCAUCAAAAAGCAUGGUAUAGUCAGUGAUGGGGAAUAGUCCAGAAAGGCUGAAACACAGCAUGUGAUGCGAGUCAAGGUAGUUGAUGCCCAACUGUGAAGGGCCGUUCUAAUCUAGCAUGGAGGUAGACAGUGUUUCCUUAAUAUGGCUGCAUAUCAGAAUUACCUAGGUCAGGACGAGGCAUGGAGAUGCUACUUUAAUAGGCCCUGCCGCAGAUCUUCCAAACCAGAAUCUUAAUCCUGGAGUCUAGGAAUCUUUAUUUUUCACACAACUCAUCCAAGUGGUUCUGAUAAAAUCAGUCCAGCACUUUUAGAACCCACUGAUAACAGACUUAUUCCUGGAGACAGCAUUUGAGGAGGAAUUGAAGAUUUUUCUAAUGAAAAGAAAAAGGGUCACAUGAACAGAUGUUGCAGUGUACCUGUGCCAGGGAUUUCAUGUGUACACUUUAUAGGAGAAUAAGCAAGAGCUUAGGUAAGUUAUAGUCCUUACCAUUGGGUCUAAGGCAGUUUCCAGGAAAGCAUGGCAACUCGUUCAGCUAUGUAAGUUGAACUCUGUACCACUUGGGAGGGAACAUUCCCCUAGAUGACAAUGUCAGUGGCACUCGAAGUUGUGCAGUGCACAUUCUUAUCUACCAACAUAUACAGCAGUCCUUCUGGGAAGGAAAUUUGGGCAGGAAAGGGAACUCACAGUGUCGGAAUGCCUGGAGCAUUUCUUCUAGUCUGGUGGACAGAAUAUGAAAGUAUCUGCCUGGCAGUGCAGUAAAUGAAAAGAGAAGAUAAAUGAAUAAAAAAAAAAGUUAUAAAUAACAGUAGGAAAGAGAGAGUGCAGGUGGAACGAGCCUAUCCUGUGGUGAAAUGACAACACAUUCUGCAGUUUUAAAAUCUAAGAGGCUCAUUGACUUUUCUUCAUUCAUUUAAAUUGAUCUCCAAGAAAACUAUGUAUUUUAAAGAUUCCAUAAACUGAAUAUAUGAAUGAGAAUUAAGAAGAGAGGGGCUGCUUCCUAAUCUGUUUAUAUAAGGUAUAGUAUAGUAUAAUCUGUUUAUAUAAGGUUAGUAGAGAGGAGACACCAGGUGCUGGCCAUAAACCUAAGAAGACAUUGAAUCCCAUUCACUCCUUAACAUUCCUUAAUAUACAUUCAUGAGCUACAUAACAUUUUAAUCAUCAAUGAUGGACCAUAUACCAUAUACGAUAUGGUGGCCCCAUAAGAUUAUAAUGGACCUGAAAAAUUCCUAUUGCUAGUGAUGUGGUCAUUGUAAAGCUGUAGCACAACACAUUACCCACGUUUGUGGUGACAGUCAUAUAAAAGUAUGGUACAUAUAAUUAUGUACAGUGCAUACAUAAUACUUGAUAAUAUGUUACUGGUUUGUGUCUUUGCUAUGCUUUUUAUCAUUAUUUUAGGGUAUACUACUUAAAAUGUUAACUGUAAAACAGCUUCUGACAGGUCCUUCAGGAAGUACUCCAGAAGAAGGCAUUGUUAUCAUAGAAGGUGACAGCUUCAUGUGUGUUAUUGCCCCUGAAGACCUUCCAGUGGUACAAGAUGUGGAGGAGGAAGACAGUGAUACUGAGGAUUCUGACCCUGUGUAGGCUUAGGCUAAUGUGUGUGUUUAUAUCUUAGUUUUUCACAAAAAGGUUUUUCCAAUGUUAAAAAAAAUAUAUAAAAAAGCUUAUAGAAUAAGGAUAUAAAGAAAUAUUUUGUACAGCUGUACAAUAAGCUAAGCAUUAUUACCAAAGAGUCAAAAAGUUUUAAGAAAUUAAAGUUUAUAAACCAAAUGUUCAUUGUGAGCCAAGGUUAAUUUAUUGAAGAAAUAAAACAUUUUUAAUGAAA